rnacentral:rRNA from 1 species
UACACAUCGCCCGUCACUCUCGCCUAGUAAAACAAGCAAGGGGAGAAAAGUCGUAACACAAUAGGCUCACCGGAAGGCGAGCCUGGAAA